GUGAAUCAUCGAAUUUUUGAACGCAAAUUGCGCUUCCUGGCAUCCCGGGGAGUAUGCCUGUUUGAGGGUCAGUAUUAAUAAAAAAUCGGUUUAGUUACAAAUUGUUUCGUUUCCGGAUGUGGGGCUAUCUUAACUUUUUUGGUUAGCAGGCUUAAAAUUGACCUUGUUUCCGCGUUCUUAUACGUACAUAAAUUUUUUUUAUUCGUCUAUUCUUAAUGCUAAAUUCUUAUUAGAUGCGAUCACAUCGUGUGGCAUCGUGUCCAUAUAAUUUUCAUGAUUUGACCUC
rnacentral:misc_RNA from 1 species